rnacentral:rRNA from 1 species
CCCUUAGAUGUUCUGGGCCGCACACGCGCUACACUGAAGGAGGCAGCGUGUACUCCUGGAUCGAAAGAUUUGGGUAACCCGCGAAUCUCCUUCGUGCUAGGGAUUGAGGUUUGCAAUUAUCCUUCAUGAACGAGGAAUUCCCAGUAAGUGCAAGUCAUAAGCUUGCGCUGACUACGUCCCUGCCCUUUGUACACACCGCCCGUCGCUACUACCGAUUGAAUGAUUUAGUGAGGAUUUCGGACUGGGACUGAUGCGGCUUUCGGGCUGCGUCGGUAUUCUGGAAAGAUGUCCAAACUGUNUNAUUUAGNGGAAGUAAAANUCGUANCA